GUUUCCAUCAUGACACCAACACUUUUGAGACCUUUACAGAGAACAUUAUCAUGGCCCCUACCCAAGAAUGACAUACAAAAUUGGGAUGCUGGCAGAAUCAUU